AAUGAACGUUGGCGGCGUGGAUUAGGCAUGCAAGUCGAGCGGUAACAGGCCGCAAGGUGCUGACGAGUGGCGAACGGGUGAGUAAUGCAUCGGAACGUGCCCAGUCGUGGGGGAUAACGCAGCGAAAGCUGCGCUAAUACCGCAUACGAUCUAUGGACGAAAGCGGGGGACCGUAAGGCCUCGCGCGAUUGGAGCGGCCGAUGUCAGAUUAGGUAGUUGGUGGGGUAAAGGCUCACCAAGCCAACGAUCUGUAGCUGGUCUGAGAGGACGACCAGCCACACUGGGAGUGAGACACGGCCCAGACUCCUACGGGAGGCAGCAGUGGGGAAUUUUGGACAAUGGGCGCAAGCCUGAUCCAGCAAUGCCGCGUGCAGGAAGAAGGCCUUCGGGUUGUAAACUGCUUUUGUACGGAACGAAAAGGCUCUGGUUAAUACCUGGGGCUCAUGACGGUACCGUAAGAAUAAGCACCGGCUAACUACGUGCCAGCCGCCGCCGUAAGAC
rnacentral:rRNA from 1 species